GACGAACGCUGGCGGCGUGCUUAACACAUGCAAGUCGAACGGUAAGGCCCUUCGGGGUACACGAGUGGCGAACGGGUGAGUAACACGUGGGUGAUCUGCCCUGCACUUCGGGAUAAGCCUGGGAAACUGGGUCUAAUACCGGAUAGGACCACUGCCUGCAUGGGUGGUGGUGGAAAGCUUUUGCGGUGUGGGAUGGGCCCGCGGCCUAUCAGCUUGUUGGUGGGGUGAUGGCCUACCAAGGCGACGACGGGUAGCCGGCCUGAGAGGGUGACCGGCCACACUGGGACUGAGAUACGGCCCAGACUCCUACGGGAGGCAGCAGUGGGGAAUAUUGCACAAUGGGCGCAAGCCUGAUGCAGCGACGCCGCGUGGGGGAUGAAGGCCUUCGGGUCGUAAACUCCUUUUACAGUAAUAGAGAUGUUAUUGAGAAUAAGCACCUGCUAACUCUGUGCCAGCCGCCGCCGUAA
rnacentral:rRNA from 1 species